AUGGCCUGGAUUCUGGUCUUUCUCACCCUCCUCACUGAGGGCACAACAUCCUGGGCCCAGUCUUCCCUGACUCAGCCAUCCUCAGUGUCUGGGGCUCUGGGACAGACAGUUACCAUCUCUUGUGAUGGAACCAGAAAUGACAUUGGAAAGUAUAAUGAUGUCGACUGGCACCAACAGUAUCCUGGCAUGGCCCCCAAAAUUCUAAUUUAUAAUGUAAAUACUCAGCCAUCAGGGAUCUCUGAUUGCUUCUCUGGCUCCAAGUCUGGCAACACAGCCUCCCUGACCAUCUCUGGGCUCCAGGCUGAAGAUGAGGUUGAUUGCUCAUCUUGA